rnacentral:lncRNA from 1 species
CCACAACGAUGCUUUCUAUAGAGCCUGUGGAACAGAAACAAGAUGUAUUCAAACCGACUGGGAAAUACUGCAUCUUAGCUACAUCCCUAGAGUUGAACAGACACAUUUCAAGCCUUAUCCAAGUUUAGGACUUUUGGAAAGCAUUGCAGUUGCGAAUAAGAGAAUGUGCUUGGAAUCUUACUCUUGUGCAUUGAAGAAGGAUAAGAAACAGGAAGAAGUAGAAGAAUAAGGGGCUGGAGAUCAAGACCUACCCAUUGUGAUGAAUAAAUCCAGGCUCUCAGCAAUGCAGGGAGAAAAAGUUUUGUCUAUCAACACUGCAGCAACCAGGUAAUUCUGUGCACAGACCAAGUCUCUUAGCACAGGCACCAGCCCUGGAGUUCAUGUCCUCAUCAAAGGAUGGAAAGAAGCAAAGCUCAAAUCAGCUUGGGAAGGACCUUACCUAGUGCUCCUGACCACUGUAACCAUCAUCCAGACAGCAGAGAAAGGAUGGACUCAUUAUACCCGAGUCAAAGUGUUGCCACCUCCACAGUCAUGGGCCAUUGUUCCAGGGGAAAGCCCUACCAAAUUAAAGCUAAGAAAAACUUAUCACC